rnacentral:tRNA from 1 species
AUAGUAGUAGUAUAAAUAGUAUUACUGUCUUCCAAACAGUGGGUUCGGUGGGUCGACUACUAUA